UGAGGGGCCGUGGAGGUAUCGGAAGUGCGAAUGAUGACAUGAGUAGCGACAAACAGGGUGAGAGACCCUGUCGCCGAAAGUCCAAGGGUUCCUGCUUAAAGCUAAUCUGAGCAGGGUAAGCCGACCCCUAAGGCGAGGCCGAAAGGCGUAGUCGAUGGGAAACAGGUUAAUAUUCCUGUACUUGGUGGUAGUGACGGAUGCCGUGUGUUGUAUCUCCUUAUUGGAUUGGGGGUGCAGCGAAGGUGUUCCAGGAAAUAGCUCCACCGUAUAAACCGUACCCGAAACCGACACAGGUGGACUGGUAGAGAAUACCAAGGCGCUUGAGAGAACUAUGCUGAAGGAACUCGGCAAAAUGCUCCCGUAAGUUCGCGAGAAGGGAGACCUGUACUUGGGCAACCAGGUAUAGGUGGCACAGAAAUGGGGGUGGCGACUGUUUAUCAAAAACACAGGGCUCUGCGAAGUCGCAAGACGACGUAUAGGGUCUGACGCCUGCCCGGUGCUGGAAGGUUAAGAGGAGGUGUGCAAGCACCGAAUUGAAGCCCCAGUAAACGGCGGCCGUAACUAUAACGGUCCUAAGGUAGCGAAAUUCCUUGUCGGGUAAGUUCCGACCUGCACGAAUGGCGUAACGACUUCCCCGCUGUCUCCAGCAUAGACUCAGUGAAAUUGAAUUCCCCGUGAAGAUGCGGGGUUCCUGCGGUCAGACGGAAAGACCCCGUGCACCUU
rnacentral:rRNA from 1 species